AUUGAACGCCGGCGGCAGGCCUAACACAUGCAAGUCGAGCGGGGUUUUCGGACCUAGCGGCGGACGGGUGAGUAAUGCGUAGGAAGCUACCCGAUAGAGGGGGAUACCAGUUGGAGACGACUGUUAAUACCGCAUAAUGUCUACGGACCAAAGUGUGGGACCUUCGGGCCACAUGCUGUCGGAUGCGCCUACGUGGGAUUAGCUAGUUGGUGAGGUAAUGGCUCACCAAGGCGACGAUCCCUAGCUGGUUUGAGAGGAUGAUCAGCCACACUGGAACUGAGACACGGUCCAGACUCCUACGGGAGGCUGCAGUGGGGAAUAUUGGACAAUGGCGCAAGCCUGAUCCUGCCAUGCCGCGUGUGUGAAGAAGGCCUUCGGGUUGUAAAGCACUUUCAGCGAGGAGGAAGGGGUGAGUGUUAAUAGUACUCAUCUUUGACGUUACUCGCAGAAGAAGCACCGGCUAACUCUGUGCCAGCCGCCGCCGUAACAC
rnacentral:rRNA from 1 species